GAUGAACGCUGGCGGCGUGCCUAAUACAUGCAAGUCGAGCGAACAGACGAGGAGCUUGCUCCUUUGACGUUAGCGGCGGACGGGUGAGUAACACGUGGAUAACCUACCUAUAAGACUGGGAUAACUUCGGGAAACCGGAGCUAAUACCGGAUAAUAUAUUGAACCGCAUGGUUCAAUAGUGAAAGACGGUUUUGCUGUCACUUAUAGAUGGAUCCGCGCCGCAUUAGCUAGUUGGUAAGGUAACGGCUUACCAAGGCAACGAUGCGUAGCCGACCUGAGAGGGUGAUCGGCCACACUGGAACUGAGACACGGUCCAGACUCCUACGGGAGGCAGCAGUAGGGAAUCUUCCGCAAUGGGCGAAAGCUUGACGGAGCAACGCCGCGUGAGUGAUGAAGGUCUUCGGAUCGUAAAACUCUGUUAUUAGGGAAGAACAAAUGUGUAAGUAACUAUGCCCGUCUUGACGGUACCUAAUCAGAAAGCCCCGGCUAACUACGUG
rnacentral:rRNA from 1 species